GUAGGUGGCAAGCGUUGUCCGGAUUUAUUGGGCGUAAAGCGCGCGCAGGCGGUUCUUUAAGUCUGAUGUGAAAGCCCACGGCUCAACCGUGGAGGGUCAUUGGAAACUGGAGAACUUGAGUACAGAAGAGGAAAGCGGAAUUCCACGUGUAGCGGUGAAAUGCGUAGAGAUGUGGAGGAACACCGGUGGCGAAGGCGGCUUUCUGGUCUGUAACUGACGCUGAGGCGCGAAAGCGUGGGGAGCAAACAGGAUUAGAUACCCUGGUAGUCCACGCCGUAAACGAUGAGUGCUAAGUGUUAGGGGGUUUCCGCCCCCCUUAGUGCUGCAGCUAACGCAUUAAGCACUCCGCCUGGGAGUACGGCCGCAAGGCUG
rnacentral:rRNA from 1 species